rnacentral:rRNA from 1 species
AUUGAACGCUGGCGGCAGGCCUAACACAUGCAAGUCGAACGAGUGGCGGACGGGUGAGUAAUGUCUGGGAAACUGCCUGAUGGAGGGGGAUAACUACUGGAAACGGUAGCUAAUACCGCAUACCAUCGGAUGUGCCCAGAUGGGAUUAGCUAGGAGGUGGGGGAAAGGCUCACCUAGGCGACGAUCCCUAGCUGGUCUGAGAGGAUGAUCAGUCACACUGGAACUGAGACACGGACCAGAGUCCUACGGGAGGCAGCAGUGGGGAAUGUUGGGCAGUUGGCGAAAGCCUGAUCCAGCCAUGCCGCGUGUGUGAAGAAGGUCUUCGGAUUGUAAAGCACUUUAAGUUGGGAGGCGUUACCAACAGAAUAAGCACCGGCUAACUUCGUGCCAGCAGCCGCGGUAAUUC